rnacentral:rRNA from 1 species
CCAAUAGCGUAUAUUAAAGUUGUUGCAGUUAAAAAGCUCGUAGUUGAAUUUCGGGGUCAGUAGGUUGGUCAUGCCACUGGUAUGUACUGGUCUCACUGAUUCCUCCUUCCUGAUGAACUGUAAUGCCAUUAAUUUGGUGUUGCAGGGAAUCUGGACUGUUACUUUGAAAAAAUUAGAGUGUUUAAAGCAGGCUAACGCAUGAACACAUUAGCAUGGAAUAAUGAAUGAGGACGUUCGAUCCUCUUUUGUUGGUUUCUAGGAUGGACGUAAUGAUUAAUAGGGAUAGUUGGGGGCAUUAGUAUUAAAUUGUCAGAGGUGAAAUUCUAGGAUUUAUUGAAGACUAACUACUGCGAAAGCAUUUGCCAAGGAUGUUUUCAUUAAUCAAGAACGAAAGUUAGGGGAUCGAAGACGAUCAGAUACCGUCGUAGUCUUAACCAUAAACUAUGCCGACUAGGGAUCGGAUGAUGUUAAUUUUUUAAUGACUCAUUCGGCGCCUUACG